rnacentral:lncRNA from 1 species
GGUUGACUUUUUAAAUAUGGCGAUAAGGAAAAGGACAGAGUCAAGGAUAUCUCCUCCAUUUCUGGUUUGUGCAACAGACACUGGUGCAAUUUACUAAGGAAAGGAACACCAUGGAGCCAAACUUGUGGGAAGAAGACCCCGACUUGGCUUCUGAACAUUCCUUUGUGAUGUUCAGAUAGUGCUCUCAGGUAAAGAGAAGGGAAGAAAAUAGAAGCCCCUCUCACCCUGGGAGAGUUUGCCAAAGACCAUCUCUUUCCUGGUCACCCAUGGAGCAGAUUAUUGGCUACUGCAGUGGAGGAAAUAUACGAAACCUACAGGUUCUGCGAGACGGGCAGAGUGGCGGGCUGUGUGAGCCCAUGAAAGAUGAAUUAAGAAGGACAGCUAAUCAGGGGAUCAAACAACCCAGAGAAGUGAGUCACUCAGACCUUCUGCAGAUGCUUCACUGCUACAAAUGUCCUUAAUAAAUGAUGGACCUUGUAGGGUUGAUUCUAUGCACUUAGUCCUGAAAAUCAAAGCAGAAUGUCAAUUUUCUCUCUGAAGAUGAAAGCUCUGAACUGAAAGCACAGUAAAGAAUCAAGACAGGAAUAAGAGAUCAUCGCUCACCAAGUACUACCCCUAGGCCAGGCUUCCAGGAAGCCUGGUCUCUGGAAACUCUUGUCUGUGAUAUGCCUUAGAGAGUAAAGUAUUGGAACAGUGAAC